rnacentral:rRNA from 1 species
UACGUAGGGUGCGAGCGUUAAUCGGAAUUACUGGGCGUAAAGCGUGCGCAGGCGGUUAUGUAAGACAGUUGUGAAAUCCCCGGGCUCAACCUGGGAAUUGCAUCUGUGACUGCAUAGCUAGAGUACGGUAGAGGGGGGAUGGAAUUCCGCGUGUAGCAGUGAAAUGCGUAGAUAUGCGGAGGAACACCGAUGGCGAAGGGCAAUCCCCCUGGACCUGGUACUGACGCUCAUGCACGAAAAGCGUGGGGGAGCAAACAGG